GGAUAACAUCCGGUGGAGGCGACUCUAAGGACAGUGCAACAGAAAUGAACCGCCUGCAUUGCAGGUAAGGGUGGAAAGGCAGUGUAAGAGACUACCGCCUGCUCGGUAACGCGCAGGGCACAUGUAAACCCCAUCCGGAGCAAGACCGAAACGAAAGCCAUACGGCGGCCCGCCGUGCUUUCAGGUAGGUUGCUUUAGCCUGCUGGCAACAGCAGUGCAAGACAGAUGACCACUCAACGACAGAACCCGGCUUAUCGUUGCCCUCUGAUA
rnacentral:RNase_P_RNA from 1 species